UACGUAGGUGGCAAGCGUUGUCCGGAAUUAUUGGGCGUAAAGCGCGCGCAGGCGGUCCUUUAAGUCUGAUGUGAAAGCCCACGGCUCAACCGUGGAGGGUCAUUGGAAACUGGGGGACUUGAGUGCAGGAGAGAAGAGUGGAACUCCAGGUGGAGCGGUGAAAUGCGUAGAUAUCUGGAGGAAUACCGGUGGCGAAGGCGGUAUCCUGGACCGGCAUUGACGCUGACGAGCGAAAGCCAGGGGAGCAAACGGG
rnacentral:rRNA from 1 species